CCUACGGGAGGCAGCAGUGGGGAAUAUUGGACAAUGGGGUGAACCCUGAUCCAGCGACGCCGCGUGAGUGAAGAAGUAUUUCGGUAUGUAAAGCUCUAUCAGCAGGGAAGAAAAUGACGGUACCUGACUAAGAAGCCCCGGCUAACUACGUGCCAGCAGCCGCGGUAAGACGUAGGGGGCAAGCGUUAUCCGGAUUUACUGGGUGUAAAGGGAGCGUAGACGGUGCAGCAAGUCUGAUGUGAAAGGUCGGGGCCCAACCCCGGGACUGCCUUGGAAACUGUUGAACUGGAGUACAGGAGAGGUAAGCGGAAUUCCUAGUGUAGCGGUGAAAGGCGUAGAUAUUAGGAGGAACACCGGUGGCGAAGGCGGCUUACUGGACUGUAACUGACGUUGAGGCUCGAAAGCGUGGGGAGCAAACAGGAUUAGAUACCCUUGUAGUC
rnacentral:rRNA from 1 species